rnacentral:tRNA from 1 species
GGGUCUAUGGCUCAGCCAGGUAGAGCGAGGGACUCUUAAUCCCUAUGUCGUGGGUUCAAAUCCCACUAGACCCG